GACGAACGCUGGCGGCGUGCUUAAUACAUGCAAGUCGAACGGAAAGGCCCUGCUUUUGUGGGGUGCUCGAGUGGCGAACGGGUGAGUAACACGUGAGUAACCUGCCCUUGACUUUGGGAUAACUUCAGGAAACUGGGGCUAAUACCGGAUAGGAGCUCCUGCUGCAUGGUGGGGGCUGGAAAGUUUCGGCGGUUGGGGAUGGACUCGCGGCUUAUCAGCUUGUUGGUGGGGUAGUGGCUUACCAAGGCUUUGACGGGUAGCCGGCCUGAGAGGGUGACCGGCCACAUUGGGACUGAGAUACGGCCCAGACUCCUACGGGAGGCAGCAGUGGGGAAUAUUGCACAAUGGGCGGAAGCCUGAUGCAGCAACGCCGCGUGCGGGAUGACGGCCUUCGGGUUGUAAACCGCUUUCGCCUGUGACGAAGCGUGAGUGACGGUAAUGGGUAAAGAAGCACCGGCUAACUACGUG
rnacentral:rRNA from 1 species